GACGAACGCUGGCGGCGUGCUUAACACAUGCAAGUCGAACGGAAAGGCCCUGCUUUUGUGGGUUGCUCGAGUGGCGAACGGGUGAGUAACACGUGAGUAACCUGCCCUUGACUUUGGGAUAACUCUAGGAAACUGGGGCUAAUACCGGAUAGGACCUCCUGCUGCACGGUGGGGGUUGGAAAGUUUCGGCGGUUGGGGAUGGACUCGCGGCUUAUCAGUUUGUUGGGGGGGUAGUGGCUUACCAAGGCUUUGACGGGUAGCCGGCCUUGGAGGGUGGCCGGCGACAUGGGGACUGAGAUACGGCCCAGACUCCUACGGGAGGCAGCAGUGGGGAAUAUUGCACAAUGGGCGGAAGCCUGAUGCAGCAACGCCGCGUGCGGGAUGACGACCUUCGGGGUGUAAACCGCUUUCGCCUGUGACGAAGCGUGAGUGACGGUAAUGGGUAAAGAAGCACCGGCUAACUACGUG
rnacentral:rRNA from 1 species